CGAUAACCAAAAAAAAAUUUAUUUUAAACAUGACCUCAAAUCAAGCAAGAUUACCCGCCGAAUUUAAGCAUAUUAAUAAGCGGAGGAAAAGAAAAUAACUAUGAUGCCUGUAGUAAUGGCGAAUGAAGUAGGCAUAGCUCAAGCUUAAAAUCUGAAUCUUUAAGAUUCCGAAUUGUAGUGUAGAUUAACAUUAACUUGUAAUUUAAUUUGUUCAAGUGAGGCAUUUGACUCCUCUAUCAUAGAUGGUGAUAAUCCAGUUUGACAUUUUUUUUUACAUUUCGGUUAUUGUUUUUUAGAGAGUCGAGUUGUUUGGGAUUGCAGCUCUAAUUUGGUGAUAGAUUUCAUCUAAAGCUAAAUAUUGCAGGAAAACCGAUAGCAAAGAAGUACUGUGAAGGAAAGGUGAAAAGAACUUUGAAAAGAGAGUUAAAAGUGCUUGAAAUUGUUAAAAGGGAAGCGGAUAAAAGUGUUUGUUGAUAAAUAAUUGCAGUGUUUUGAUACCUAGAUUUUAGAUUAUAAGAGUGUAAAAGCCUUAUUUUUUAUUAUUGAAAGUUAAAUUCAUUUAAAAUUAUAUCAUGUCAUAGUGAUGUUUAUUUAAAUUAAAAAAUCUUUGUAGAGUUGAUUUUGGAGCGUUAAAAACUUUAAUUUUUUAUAAUACUUUGGAUAUGAUUUAGAGACGCAUUUUUUUUUAAAAAUAGAUUACGUGGUUAAUAAUUAAAAAGGUGGAAAUUUUGUUAUUAUCUUGUUUGACAAGUGAUAAUUUAAUGGAAAUUGGAUUUUUUAUUGAUUUACAUAUUUUUAAACUAUGAUUAAAAACUUUUAUCCGGCCCGUCUUGAAACACGGACCAAGGAGUCUAACAUGUAUGCAAGUUUGAGAGUGGUUAAACUCGAAGGCGAAAUGAAAGUGAUUGACGUAUUAAUCGUAUUGAUAAGUGAGUGUGAUGAAAUAUGGUCUAGUUCAAUUUAGAUUGGAUUAAGAUAAAGCAUAUAUGAUGGGACCCGAAAGAUGAUGAACUAUGCUUGAACAGGGUGAAGUCAGGGGAAACUCUGAUGGAGGCUCGUAGCGGUACUGACGUGCAAAUCGUUCGUCUGAUUUGAGUAUAGGGGCGAAAGACUAAUCGAAUCAUCUGGUAGCUGGUUUUCACCGAAAUUUCCCUCAGGAUAGCUGGCAUUGGUGAAACAAUUUUAUGACGUAAAGCGCAUGAUUAGAAGUAUCUGGGUUGAAAUAAUUUAGACUGAUUCUCAAACUUUGAAGUUGUAAGUAAUAAAAGUACUUUUUUAAGCUAUACUUUUAUAAUUCAAAUGGAACAAUGCUUAGUGGGCCAUUUUUGGUAAGCAGAACUGGCGAUGCGGAAUGAACCGAUCGUGGAGUUAAAGUGUCGGAAUGUUAGCUAAUUUAGAAAUCAUAAAAGGUGUUGAUUUAUUUAGACAGCAGGACGGUGGUCAUGGAAGUCGAUAUCCGCUAAGAAGUGUGUAAUAACUUACCUGCCAAAUGAAUUUGCCCUGAAAAUCGAUGACGCUUAAGCUAAAUACUUAAACUCUACCGUUAGUAUAGUGUUAGAUAUUAACGAGUAGGUGAACGUGAAUGUAAUGGAAAAGUUGCGGGGGUGAUCCCGGAUGAAAUUGCAUUUAGUGCAGAUCUUGGUGGUAGUAGCAAAUAUUCAAGUAAAAUUCUUGAAGACCGAAGUAGAGAAAGGUUUCAUGAGAACAGCAAUUGAUCAUGAGUUAGUCGAUCCUAAGGAAAAGAUUAACCUCGAAAAAAAAACAUUGGUGAAAGCUAUUAAAAAAAAUGUUUUAUUAAUCCGAAAGGGAGAAAGUUUAAUAUUACUUUACUGCGAAUUGGAUAUUUUUGUGGUAACACAACUGAAAUCGAAAACGUUAGUGGUUAGCCCAGGGGGAGUUAUCUUUUCUUGUUAACAAAAAGAUAGCAUUGGAAUGAUAGUAAAUCGAGAUAAGGCAGGAU
rnacentral:rRNA from 1 species